CAGUAGCCGCGGUAAUACGAAGGGUGCAAGCGUUAAUCGGAAUUACUGGGCGUAAAGCGUGCGUAGGCGGUUUGUUAAGUCUGCUGUGAAAUCCCCGGGCUCAACCUGGGAAUGGCAGUGGAUACUGGCAAGCUAGAGUGUGUCAGAGGAUGGUGGAAUUCCCGGUGUAGCGGUGAAAUGCGUAGAGAUCGGGAGGAACAUCAGUGGCGAAGGCGGCCAUCUGGGACAACACUGACGCUGAGGCACGAAAGCGUGGGGAGCAAACAGGGUUAGAUACCCGCGUAGUCCCUGUCUCUUAUAC
rnacentral:rRNA from 1 species